rnacentral:misc_RNA from 1 species
GCAUUAUAAGCAAACACAUUAUGAUCAAGUGGUGAAGUAUAGAAUACAGAUAAAGCAUUCGAUAUCGAAUUACAUUUCGAGUACAUGUUAAUAAGGCUAGUGGUAGGCACUGGAGAUAAAUCCAAAUGGCCACAUCUAAGCAUGUGACAAUGAACUUGUUUCCCUCCUGUAAGGUCCUUUUCAUUAGCACAUGAUUGAAGUGAUACAAUGCAAGUCUUGAGAUCAAAAGACUUGUAAGCAAUGGAUGAAAAACUAAUUGAAUAUUGACAUUGUGACUUAAAUAUUGACAAAGACCUCGUAAUUAAGGUUCUUCGCCUCAUUUAGAAGCAAAAAA